rnacentral:piRNA from 1 species
UGCCAUAUUAAAAAUGUACCCUGUUUUGACU